CCCAGAUCUGGCCCGCCCAGGCCCGAGUGCCGCCGUCACCACCAGCGCCCGACCCCGAGCUCCUCCUCCCGUGCGCCUCCUCCCUGGCUUCCCUCGCGCGUCGUCCGGCGACCGGCGCCGCCGCCGCCGACCACCCAGGUCACGCCGCCGCUUCCAUGCCUUCUCUCUCUCUAAUCUUCUUGUCUCUCCUCUCCAGGAGCUCAGCGCCAGCGCCAUGGAUGUCCAGUCCUCGAGCUCUCCUCGGAGAUUCGAACGCCGCCACGGGACCUCCACCAGCCAGAUCCGGCGCCUACCUCCCGGAUCCGCGCUCCCUCCACCUCCUCUACCCGAUCCGGCGCCGUCGAACCCACCAAGACCUCCACCAUGGAGUUCCUAUAGCUCGUCCCCUGCCUCCUCGUCCUGUGCUCGAGGGAGACGCCCCUCCAGCGCAUCCAGGACAAGGCCCACCGCCAGCCGGUCGUUGUUGCACUCACCGGCGACCUCACCCUCCCCUCUGCACUGCCCUCCACCUCAACUGAUGCUUCUCACCAACAGGGAUAUAUUUAGCUGGUCAUAGCUUGUGGAUGUUCUCUGUUAAUUUUUGCACACAAGGUGUUUGUGUGUUUGUCCAAGCCAAUGUUCAUGAGCUUUAUCUUUGCUAUAAAUGACAUGGCUGAGAAAGUCCCUUCAAUGAAAGGAGGAGUAUAGUCUUGGCCAUGGCUGGGAAGGAAGGAGAACAUGCCUUCAUGCUGGACCGAGGAGGAGAAGAAGGGGGGCACGUCGAAGGUGCCGGUGGAGCGCGCCGUCGAGAUUGUUGAUGACAGCGACACGGGCGAGGCCGGGGAGGAGGUCAUGGUUGAUGCUUUACUGCCUGAAUAUGUUGACCGGGAACAAGAGGGUAAGAUGGAUGUGAGGGCGGAGGCGCAUGCCAUGGUGCAGGAUGUUGUGGAAGCCUGAUUAUUUGAGGAAGUGACAGCCACUGGGAGCAUGGAUCGACAGACUAGACAGCAGACCAAGUCCAUUGAUCGGUUGAUUCAACAACGAAGGAAGAGGCAGAAGGUUAUAAAAACGAGCUUGGGGAUUUACUGACCUGAAUCUUAAACAAGGCCGCCCUGCUGAUGGACUCAAGCUCCAAAUAUGCAAAGUCAUAGUCCUGCAUGUAUGGACAUCUACUGAUGCAUACAAGCCGAUCGACGGGCACACACAUUAGUAAGUUCUGCUACUAGCCUAAUCAAGAGCCUUUUAUACAACCCCGCAAAAAAAAAGCCUUUUAUACAGCCUUGCAGAUUAAAAAUGAAUUGAAUUAUGAGCAUCUGACAACUACGAUCAAUUUCCUGGUUAUACUUCCUGAAAUAAAGGUGGCCGACCAAAUGAAAGGAUGGAUGCUUUCCUUUAUGUGAGAUAAUGUACAUUAUCUUACUUGAUCUGCAAUGUUUCUUUGGUAAUUUUUUAUGAAAGACACAUGACACAUAGUUUGCUGGAUAGGUCUAAGAUAAAUAUUUCAGUUAUAGGAGGAUAUUUUUAAAUGGGUAAUACUAUUACCGCCAUCUGCUUGGCCUGUCGUGCUUUCGGUAGAGCUUUCAUAUUUCAACACAAAAAAACAACAAUGCAAGUUGGGACCAGAAUAGCACACACAUCCUGAAAGGAAACAUCAGUUGGGAGUGCUCAAGUAUUCAGUUUCUUGGAUGAUGUAUUAUGUUCUCGCUUAUCAUGUACUCCCUCUGUAAACAAAUAUAAGACCUUUUAUAUAGAUAACUAAAGUAGUGAUCUAACAGGUCCUAUAUUUGUUAGAGGGAGUAUGUUUCUAGAUAUCCGUCAACUCCAAUGUUUCAUUUAUCUGCUCUCUGAAUAUGAAGAAGAUAGGCUUGCAAAGUAGCUUUUUAUGUGAAUAAUGUGACAAACAUUUAUGUCUUAUAACUGCAAACAUUUUUUUGUUUAGUCCGUCACCGAGCAAAUGUUUGGGAGUUGGAAAUUAUUUGGAUACACAUGAUCUCAGCAAAGAAAGAUUCACACAUACUACAACCAAAGGACCUCCUUCACUCUCUGUGCAACUACAGAAAUUAUCCUUAUGAGCAGCACCCUAGAUUUAGUUGUGGGUUCUAACAUAUUAGAGAUGUGGUUAGAAUACCUACUGCUCUGAACAAUUAAGUGGUUUGUAUAAACCACCGAUUCCCUCGUGCAGUGUACAAUGUGAUAAGGAUCAUCAUAGGAUCAAACUUAAUACAGGAUGUACACACUUAAUUGUUUCUGAACUAUACUACUUUUUAUGUUCAUUCUCCUGUCCUUUUAAAUCUCUAAUUUAGUUGCAAGUAUUUUAUUUGUUAUCGUUUGGCUUCUUAAGAACAAAUCUAGCAAGUUUGGCUUCUUCAGAACAAAUCUAGCAAGCAACGACUCGACUGAUGAAAGAGAUGUUGACCAUCUUUGCUGCAGUGAGUGGAGGAAUCUCAAGACUUAGGAAUGGUGCCCCGACAAUUGUGAGCGGCACAAAGGAAGGGCCGCCAUCACCAAGGAAGUACGUUGACAAUUGUGGACUCCAAAGAGGAACAAGCUCUAUAUUUAGUGCAUUGAGUUGCUAUUUUAAAUUCUAAGAGGU
rnacentral:rRNA from 1 species